UAGGGAAUCUUCGGCAAUGGACGAAAGUCUGACCGAGCAACGCCGCGUGAGUGAAGAAGGUUUUCGGAUCGUAAAACUCUGUUGUUAGAGAAGAACAAGGACGUUAGUAACUGAACGUCCCCUGACGGUAUCUAACCAGAAAGCCACGGCUAACUACGUGCCAGCAGCCGCGGUAAUACGUAGGUGGCAAGCGUUGUCCGGAUUUAUUGGGCGUAAAGCGAGCGCAGGCGGUUUCUUAAGUCUGAUGUGAAAGCCCCCGGCUCAACCGGGGAGGGUCAUUGGAAGCUGGGAGACUUGAGUGCAGAAGAGGAGAGUGGAAUUCCAUGUGUAGCGGUGAAAUGCGUAGAUAUAUGGAGGAACACCAGUGGCGAAGGCGGCUCUCUGGUCUGUAACUGACGCUGAGGCGCGAAAGCGUGGGGAGCAAACAGG
rnacentral:rRNA from 1 species